CUGAUGGUUAUAUUACUCAAAGCCCAUAUGUAUAAAUUAAAGUACAAAAAUGAAGGAGUAGCCUGAGCAGAAUAGCAAAUGAAUAUGUCGUAUUACAAAAAUAUAGUAAUAGUAAAGCAACAAUCCAAGCCAAAUAAUGUGAAAAUUCUACAACAAUUAAAGAAUUUUAGGCUGAUCAAGCAGCAACAUUGAUUCACCCAAGUCGUGAAUUUGUGGUAUCAUUAGGAGGUCUCACACAAUUAUCUCAUCGUACCCAUGCUACAGAAUCAAUCUCAUCUCUUGCUUUCUU
rnacentral:lncRNA from 1 species